GCUUAACCGGAGAAGGGCAUCGGAAACUGGAUAACUUGAGUGCAGAAGAGGGUAGUGGAACUCCAUGUGUAGCGGUGGAAUGCGUAGAUAUAUGGAAGAACACCAGUGGCGAAGGCGGCUACCUAGUCUGUAACUGACGCUGAGGCUCGAAAGCAUGGGUAGCAAACAGGAUUAGAUACCCUGGUAGUCCAUGCCGUAAACGAUGAAUACUAGGUGUUAGGGGGUUUCCGCCCCUUAGUGCCGCAGCUAACGCAAUAAGUAUUCCGCCUGGGGAGUACGACCGCAAGGUUGAAACUCAAAGGAAUUGACGGGGACCCGCACAAGCGGUGGAGCAUGUGGUUUAAUUCGAAGCUACGCGAAGAACCUUACCAGGGCUUGACAUCUUCUGCUAAUCCGAGAGAUCGGACGUUCCCUUCGGGGACGGAAAGACAGGUGGUGCAUGGUUGUCGUCAGCUCGUGUCGUGAGAUGUUGGGUUAAGUCCCGCAACGAGCGCAACCCUUAUGAUUAGUUGCCAGCAUUAAGUUGGGCACUCUAAUGAGACUGCCGGUGACAAACCGGAGGAAGGUGGGGACGACGUUAAAUCAUCAUGCCCCUUAUGUCCUGGGCUACACACGUGCUACAAUGGAUGGUACAACG
rnacentral:rRNA from 1 species